rnacentral:lncRNA from 1 species
UUCUUACCUCACGUCCAGUUUCUAGUGCGCACGCGUACCAGUCACCAUCUGACAGAACAGUAGCGAACACUGCAUCCAAUUGCGAAGGAUCCGCGCGAGGAUGGUGCCGUAAGGACAAGCGGAGAUCCAAUCGAAGAGGCCACAAAUGGUAACAGCGAACCAUGGCGACAAAAGAUUCCCUGGCUCGAUGAGUUUUCAAGGGGUGCAUGUUAAGGGUUAACACCGCGAUCUCGGUCGCCUUUCGAUCGUUAUCCCAUUUAGGGGAAUCGGAUCUCUGCACGCGCAGCUGCAACGAUUUAUCGUCUCGCCUUCCGUGUGCGUUUAUUCUUUGUGAAUACUUUAAGGAAGAAAUCAAAAGACUUUUUAUAUGAUUCAAGAAUUGUAGCAACAAAUUUGGUCUGACAUGGAAUCAAUAUUGUUAUCGAAACGAAAUAAAAACUAAAUUUUCUAAUCUCUAAAGGAAAACGAAGCGUAAAAAAUUAAACAAAAAAAAUUUUAUUAUAAAAUUACUUUCUUUUCGUUUAUACAAUCUAUCAAUAACACAAAAAGUAUACCAAUCAAAAAUGCUUUCAUAACUUUUCUUUCUUCGAUUAACAUACAUGAACAAAACGAUCGUGCCGACUUGUGUGCGCAUGUCACGUCAUCUUCGCCUUUCGUUUCGAAACCGGCUGUCCGCAGCUGGUGCCCGCGUUUCCUAGUCACAUCAUCCGCCUCAUUAUACUGCUGAAUGGCUCGUCAGGAGAAACAGGCGUGCGUCGGUCGGUCAUUUUUCAAGAUCGUGGCAAAGAACUGGCCGCAUACAUCAGCCGCCAUUGUCUCGCGGCGAGAGAACGUCAUCACUUUCGAUCUGUCCCGGUACUGUCGCCCCUAACGGCCACCAAUGGUAAUAUAUCGAUGGGAAAUUAGAAUGGUUGGCAGCGCUGUUACGCGACGACGAUCUUUCGUCCGUUGAACGCCAGUCUGUAGUCAAGUCGAGUCGUGACGUGGCGAUUUUAAGGCCGGAUUACGUAACGGUGAUUGCGUUUGCACGGGGGACGCUUUGUGGGUGUUAUGAAAUAGAUAUCAUGUUCCACGGGCAUUUGUAUGCGCCAGUAUGUCGAGCUACGACCGUUUUACCAGCCAUUUUAUCGUCCCCUUCUAACCAGCUAUUUUCUUCGUACUGUCCAAAGUAAUCGACACCAAAUGUGUAUAUAGUUUUCGUUUAAAGCACGGAACGCGGUCGAUGGUGUUUAUGAUUUUCAAGUAUAAUUGGAAUGUAUGUCUAUGUUUGUGGUUAAAAAAGCUAAUAAAUUCACGUAUCCUCUGUUUUGAUACUCUGGUUGUAUUGGUGAUGGGAAUUGAAUCAAGAAAACGAAAGUGGAACAUAUUAUGGAAUAUCGUUGAACAUUUUUUUUUUCUACGUUUGAAUUCUGAUUUCUUAUGAAACUGAAAAUGUUGAAAAGUAAUAAUCAAAUAAAAAGUAAAAGGUAAAAAUAAAAAAUAUUGUAUUUGAAUGGUAUACGAUUCAAAUAGAAAGUCAUACGAAAAUUGCGCAGUACAAAUGACAUAACGUACAAUAUAAUCUAACUCGAUUCGACGCAUCAGAAAACAGAAACUUCAAUGUUUUUUUCAUCAAGAAUAAAAAGGAUAACAAUGUAGACAUGCGUUUUUCAUGAUGUAAUCUUAUUCGAGGAGUUCCAUCCGGAAUAAAGCAUUCAGUGGAUGACUUGCAAGAUCUCGAUCGAAACGAGUGUUAAGAGUGGUCGAUCGUGAAAAAUCUUGGCUGUUAAUCGUCGUGGUUCGCGCGAGCGCAAGCGUGGACGGUCAUCGUUACCUUUCUCACGCUCGAAGCAAGCGGACAGCAAACCGAGAAAGUGGCGAGCAACCGUAAUUUCUUAUGCACGCAGCCACCGCUUACAUCCUGCGCGCUGUCGCGCUGUUAUCUUCUUAUUUCAGCACGGCAAGGUUCGUAAAGUGUCCGCUCUGAUGUACACCACCAUUGGGUUGAGAGGAAUCCGUGUGGAAAAUGUAGCAAAAUGUCGGAAGUAAUGGUAUGAAACGGAAAUGUAGACCAAUCUGAACGUUUCAAUGUGUUUCAGUUUGACCAGUUGGUUUGUUUUCACUUUGAUUGGAUAAAAUACUGUUUGUGGAUA